AGUCGAACGAUGAUCCCAGCUUGCUGGGGGAUUAGUGGCGAACGGGUGAGUAACACGUGAGUAACCUGCCCUUAACUCUGGGAUAAGCCUGGGAAACUGGGUCUAAUACCGGAUAUGACUCCUCAUCGCAUGGUGGGGGGUGGAAAGCUUUUUGUGGUUUUGGAUGGACUCGCGGCCUAUCAGCUUGUUGGUGAGGUAAUGGCUCACCAAGGCGACGACGGGUAGCCGGCCUGAGAGGGUGACCGGCCACACUGGGACUGAGACACGGCCCAGACUCCUACGGGAGGCAGCAGUGGGGAAUAUUGCACAAUGGGCGCAAGCCUGAUGCAGCGACGCCGCGUGAGGGAUGACGGCCUUCGGGUUGUAAACCUCUUUCAGUAGGGAAGAAGCCGCAAGGUGACGGUACCUGCAGAA
rnacentral:rRNA from 1 species